UACGUAGGGUCCAAGCGUUAUCCGGAAUCACUGGGCGUAAAGCGUUCGUAGGUGGUCUGUUAAGUGAGAUGUGAAAGCGUGUGGCUCAACCAUAUCGUUGUGUUUCAUACUGGCAGACUAGAGGGAAGCAGAGGCAAGUGGAAUUGGCAGUGUAGCAGUGAAAUGCGUAGAGAUUGCCAGGAACACCAAUGGCGAAGGCAGCUUGCUGGGCUUUUUCUGACACUGAGGGACGAAAAGCGUGGGGAGCGAACAGG
rnacentral:rRNA from 1 species